GGAGGGACUUGGUGGGAGGUAAUUGAAUCAUGGGGGCAGUUACCUCUAUGCUGCUCUCAUGAUAGUGAGUUCUCCUGACGGUUUUAUAAGGUGCUUUUCCCCUUUUUGCUGGGUACUUCUGCUUGCUGCUGCCAUGUGAGGAAGGACAUGUUUACUUUCCUUUCUGCCAUGAUUGAAAGUUUCCUGAAGCCUUCCCAGCCCUGUAGAACUGCCUUCAGACCCAGACUGAAUUAUACCACUGACUUUCCUGGGACUCCAGCCUACAGAGAGCAAGCAGGCUGCAGAUUGGGGGACUUGUCAGCACUCAUAAACAUGGAAAAGCACAAGGUUUAAGAAGGCCUGGAAGGGGAGACCUAGCCAGUUGCCAGUUGAGAAGAGUAAUGGUGUGACCUGGGUGACAGCCAGAUCAAGUUGUCUUAUCAGAGCAGCUGACAGAGAAAACAGCUGAACAGACUAAUCCAAAGCAAAGCCCUUACUGUUACACUGCUAGACAACCCAGGCAUACCCAAGUCAAUUAAUAAGCCUAAAGAUAAGGAGCAGGGUAAAAAUUUGGGUGCAAAUUGGAAGACAACUGGAGCAGGGCAGGAGGUAGAACAGAUUCCAUAGUGAUGGUUAUUCUGCCCUGUGAUCUUUGUUGAACUGAACUGCUUUCUCUAGACACUAUUGUUACCAAAGGAAAUAACACGUUCUCAGUCUACCUUACUGCUUAUCGGUUGUGUGGGUCACAGGAAUUGGGGGUGAGGGACUGCUUUAAAGGAUCAGGAUCAGGGUGAACAAAAACUACUGAGGCUUCAGUGUCAGUUAUCCCAAAGCCCACAUGGAUUGUGUGAUUCUGUAAAUCCUAAACUAAAUAGGAGCAACCAUCUCUGAUAUUUAUUUUGUGCGACUGUCAACCUCAAAUGCCAUCCUGAAUUCUGUAUAUGACAGUCACCAGCCUGCCUGAUACCUCGUUGAUCAACUUUUCCCCAUGCUACCAAGCCAUGCCAGGUGGACAGAACAAUUCUCCAGGGAAGCCAAGAGCUAUCACUUCCUUUUUCUACCUAAUACAUUUUGUCCCUGAUAAUCCAUUUGUCAUAUCUGACUUUCUCCUUCCUGCUGGCAGCAACCAGAGACCCUCUCAUUACACGACUGCCAGGCUUGCUUCAGCCUGAACUGCUGCAGAAUUAACUUGUCAUGUCCGCUCCACCAUGGGAACCUGUGGGGAGUCAGAGCCUCAAACAGCUGAAACACCGGAGGGAAAGAUUUCCUGCCUGUGUCAUUUCCAUCUACAGCACCAUGGUGCACUCAUUAAGGCGUGGGUUGGAAGGUGCUAUAGACAGAUACGUGCACUGGGAGGAUGGAACCUGCUUUUGAACUUAAAACCAUGAAGACACGUGUUUGUAAGACAUUUUGCACCUUUCAAAAACAUUCUCAGAUGUGAACAGGCCAUAGGGAGGUCAUUAUUUCUCUUUUCACAGAGUUAGUUGCCAUGUUGCAGAGAAAUCUCUGAACUCUAAAUCAGGAGCAUCAGUUUAAGUAAUGUCUCUGCUACUAACCAAUUUAUGAAUCUAUGCAAAGUCACUUAACUUUUCCAAUCCGCAGCUUUUUCAACUCCAAAAUGAAGGCAAUAAAACCAAUGUUAAAGGCA